AACCUGAAUGGUUAUUGAUCACCAUAGCACACAGUGAAUCGAGUCGAUAGGAGAGGUUGUCUGAUUUCCGCUUCAUAAUAAAUAAAAAUAAUUAUAAUAAUUUCCAAAAUUCAAUUUCUCAAAAUUCUUAACUCAUAGCAGACUAAUUCAUAAAUAAAAAUGUGUAAAAUGAUGUAAAAUUGCGAUGUUCCCAAGCGGUCUCCAUUUAAAAUAUUCCGAUCAAUGUAGCUUAACCUUGGUGGUCAGGUAAAAAUAAAAACUCCAAGCUAGGAUCUCUUCCAGAUCAAUAAAUCAUUUUUUGCAUUUACCUCAAAUCUUUCUCUUCUCACUCUAAUUUUCCGAGCCAAGGCAAAUUGGGGGGUCGCUACGGCUCUUCACUUGUCUCACUUCAAAACCUCAUAUCCUAUUCCAUCUUUUCUUUCUUUUCUAUCAUUUCAACUUUUCCGAGCCAAGGCAAAUUGGGGGGUCGCUACGGCUCUUCACUUGUCUCACUUCAAAACCUCAUAUCCUAUUCCAUCUUUUCUUUCUUUUCUAUCAUUUCAACCAUUGGUCCCUCGGUACAACUCACUUUCAACUUUUAGGUCUAGCAUGUUUUUUCGCCAUUUUUGAGCCGUCAUUCUUCAGAGGUCGAACACAAUAUGGAAACUUCAAACGCUUAUAACUCAGUUUAUACAAACUUCAGGGCUUCAAAAUUGGUUUCAUUGGUUUCUUCGUAAAAUUUUCUUUUA
rnacentral:lncRNA from 1 species